rnacentral:lncRNA from 1 species
GUUCAGAUGACACUCCUCCAGAUAUUAUUCCUGCUUGAUUCAAAACUUAUUCUCGACUGUGAGGAUGAGAAUAUUACAGCUUCACAACAAAACAAAACAAGACGGUCUGGCUGCAGACAUAUGGGCGAGUGGAGCUCCACUCAAGAACGGAAAUACGUCACCUCCACUAGCGACGCCGCCGCCAUGUUGGACCGGGCCACACUUUCCGUAGAAUUAUGUCGCCUCCACUAAUGACGCGGCCGCCAUGUUGGUCCGGGCAACACUUUCCGUAGAAUUACGUCACCUCCAUGGGGGCGAGUGGAGCUCCAAGAGCGAAAAUACGUCACCUCCAACUUUCGUUUUGUAUUAUUACUUGUUAUAUACGUGUAUAAAGGGUGCUUUGCAAGAUAUGUCACCUGUUUGUACGCAAUGUUAAUAUGUUCUGUACUUUUAUCUUUGUUACUUUUACCUAGUAGAAAUAAUAAAAAUAAUAAUAUACUAAUCUUUUACGGUUUAUGACAGGACAGCAAUUUUUUUAUUUUAUUUCCCCCCAGCAAUUUGCACUACAGACAUCCACAAUCCAUAUUUUAGGGCUUCUGCCUUUUGUUCAUGUUUGUUUUACCAAUGUACAACUGCCAAUGUAACAUUAGAAAGUUAACCUUAUGUUUGUAAUAUUUAGCAGUGAAAAAAUAAUGAAAUAUUAAAUAAAUUAUUAAAAUAAUACCUCAUCAAGAAUUUUCUGUGCUGAAUUUUGUAUUUUAAUUAAAAUAACAACAUAUUCAAAAUAAACACAGUAAAAUAAUGAAGAAUAACUUCCACAAUUCAGAAGUUUUAAUGGUUUUUGAGUAAUAAUAAUAAUAAUAAACACAUCUUACACUACACUGAAAACACAUGAACUGCAAGUGACCAUAAUUGUUACAGUAAAAACACAAUGUGUGCGCACGCACGCACGCACACUUUACUCUUCAAGACCUCCAUCGUCUGUGAAGCAAUCCCAGCUACAGUAGCCAGGGUGGUCAUCUGAGGAGUAAAACCCCAAAAGCACUCCCUGUUGUCCAAUUUCUCUGGUGCUUCUGAUGGAAGCGUAAGUCACUUUAUCAUCACAGCGAACCUGAAUCACCAUCACAGUCUCUGUUUCAACCCACAGUUAUUACAGAAUGAGGUUUGAGCUCAAUUCAAGACAGAUUUAUAUAAGAAUAAAACUAAUACAGGUCAUGUAGAGGGAAGAUCAAGAAGUGUUUGCUCACCUUGUUCUUCUUGGCUCUGUUUUUACUGCACACAGUAACUUCAGUAUAAGUCACAUCAUCUGUCUUCUCCUAAACACGAGUGAAAAUACAUCAGAUCAAGCUGUUAAAGACUCAUCCAUCACUACUGUGUGAAGAAGACUCAUUAUUCUACUGCAAUCAUACAA